GGACCCGCACAAGCGGUGGAACAUGUGGUUUAAUUCGAUACUACGCGAAAAACCUUACCAGGGUUUGACAUCCUGCGAAUCUCUUGGAAACGAGAGAGUGCCUUCGGGAACGCAGUGACAGGUGGUGCAUGGCUGUCGUCAGCUCGUGUCGUGAGAUGUUGGUUAAGUCCCGCAACGAGCGCAACCCACGUCUUUAGUUGCCAGCAUUUAGUUGGGCACUCUAGAGAGACUGCCGGUGAUAAACCGGAGGAAGGUGUGGAUGACGUCAAGUCAUCAUGCCCCUUACAUCCUGGGCUACACACGUACUACAAUGCUACGGACAAAGGGCUGCAAGUUCGCGAGGACAAG
rnacentral:rRNA from 1 species